rnacentral:rRNA from 1 species
UACGGGGGGAGCAAGCGUUGUUCGGAUUUACUGGGCGUAAAGGGCGCGUAGGCGGCCACCGCAAGUCGGUUGUGAAAUCUCCGGGCUUAACCCGGGAAGGUCAAUCGAUACUGCGGGGCUAGAGUGCAGAAGGGGCAACUGGAAUUCUCGGUGUAGCGGUGAAAUGCGUAGAUAUCGAGAGGAACACCUGCGGCGAAGGCGGGUUGCUGGGCUGACACUGACGCUGAAGCGCGAAAGCUAGGGGAGCGAACGGG